rnacentral:rRNA from 1 species
AUUGAACGCUGGCGGCAGGCCUAACACAUGCAAGUCGAGCGGAGCGGCGGACGGGUGAGUAAUGCCUAGGAAUCUGCCUGGUAGUGGGGGAUAACGUCCGGAAACGGGCGCUAAUACCGCAUACUAUCAGAUGAGCCUAGGUCGGAUUAGCUAGUUGGUGGGGUAAAGGCCUACCAAGGCGACGAUCCGUUACUGGUCUGAGAGGAUGAUCAGUCACAAUGGGACUGAGACACGGUCCAGACUCCUACGGGAGGCAGGAGGGGGGAAUAUUGGGCAAUGGGGGAAAGCCUGGUUCAGCCCUGCCGGGUGGUUGAAGAAGGGUUUCGGGUUGGAAAGGACUUUAAGUUGGGAGGCGUUACCAACAGAAUAAGCACCGGCUAACUUCGUGCCAGCAGCCGCGGUAAUAC